rnacentral:rRNA from 1 species
CCUACGGGUGGCAGCAGUGAGGAAUAUUGGUCAAUGGGCGGAAGCCUGAACCAGCCAAGUCGCGUGAGGGACUAAGGCCCUACGGGUCGUAAACCUCUUUUGCCGGGGAUCAGUGCCCAGCUCGCGAGCUGGGAGGGAGCGUACCCGGAGAAAAAGCAUCGGCUAACUCCGUGCCAGCAGCCGCGGUAAUACGGAGGAUGCGAGCGUUAUCCGGAUUUAUUGGGUUUAAAGGGUGCGCAGGCGGUCUGUUAAGUCAGCGGUCAAAGCCCGGGGCUCAACCCCGGCCCGCCGUUGAAACUGGCAGUCUCGAGUUGGAGAGAAGUAUGCGGAAUGCGCGGUGUAGCGGUGAAAUGCAUAGAUAUCGCGCAGAACUCCGAUUGCGAAGGCAGCAUGCCGGCUCCACACUGACGCUGAGGCACGAAAGCGUGGGUAUCGAACAGGAUUAGAUACCCCUGUAGUC